AUUGAACGCUGGCGGCAGGCCUAAUACAUGCAAGUCGAACGAGUGGCGGACGGGCGAGUAAUGUCUGGGAACCUGCCUGACGGAGGCGGCUAACUACUGGAAACGGUAGCUAAUAAUGCAUACCACCCGAUCUGCCCAGACGGGAUUAGCUAGUUGGUGGGGUAAAGGCUCACCAAGGCGACGAUUCCUAGCUGGUCUGAGAGGAUGACCGGCCACACUGGAACUGAGACACGGUCCAGACUCCUACGUGAGGCAGCAGUGGGGAAUAUUGCGCAAUGGGCGAAAGCCUGAUGCAGCCAUGCCGCGUGUAUGAAGAAGGCCUUCGGGUUGUAAAGUACUUUCGGCGGAGAGGCGUUACCCGCAGAGGAAGCACCGGCUAACUCCGUGCCAGCAGCCGCGGUAAUUC
rnacentral:rRNA from 1 species